CAGAUUCUGAGCUGCUGCGGGAUAUUUUGCAGAAGACUGUGAGGCAUCCUGUGUGUGUGAAGCACCCGCCGUCAGUCAAGUAUGCCUGGUGCUUUCUCUCAGAACUCAUCAAAAAGUAACCUGAAACUUUCACCGUAGACGUGCUGUAUUGCCCAGAAGCCAUCGUGUCGCUGGUCGGGGUCCUGCAGAGGCUGGCUGCCUGCCGGGAGCACAAGCGGGCUCCUGAGGUCUACGUGGCCUUUACCGUCCGCAACCCAGAGACGUGCCAGCUGUUCACCACCGAGCUAGGUGAACCCCCACGCCCACCCGGGCCUACAUGGUGCCCGAGCUGUCCCUGCAGGACUCCAGUGGAAGUGAAAGAACUGGGCGCUGGGGAAAAGCUAGGAUGCUCCACACUCCCACACUAUGCGGGGAACUCGGGCAGAGGCCG
rnacentral:lncRNA from 1 species